rnacentral:rRNA from 1 species
UACGGAGGGAGCUAGCGUUGUUCGGAUAUACUGGGCGUAAAGCGCACGUAGGCGGCGCAGCAAGUCAGGGGUGAAAUCCCGGAGCUCAACUCCGGAACUGCCCUUGAAACUGCAGUGCUAGAAUCCUGGAGAGGCGAGUGGAAUUCCGAGUGUAGAGGUGAAAUUCGUAGAUAUUCGGAAGAACACCAGUGGCGAAGGCGACUCGCUGGACAGACAUUGACGCUGAGGUGCGAAAGCGUGGGGAGCAAACAGG